GGCAAUUCUAUCUUUGGAGUAAGGGGGGAGUUUGCGUAGCAGCUACAGGAAUAUAGAAUGACAAAUGAAUUAGUAAUGAGUUUGGAAGACGAUGAUAAACUCCUAUUGAGAGAAGAUACCACUUUGAAAGCAGCAGCAGUAGCAAAUGAAACAGAACUAAGGAAGGAAGGAAGAUUACGAAAGAUACAAAGCAAACCCCACAACUAUGUGGUGAAAGGGAUAUACAUUCACAAAGUGUGAAACAAGUGCAUUCACGUAGUUUGGGACCCGGCUAAGGUGUCUGUAUUGUAGUGCAGACAAAUGUGAUCCAGACCGUAAUUGCAAGUAAUACGUUUCUUUAAUAGUUCCAAACUUAAACAAAUUAAACACACAGAAGUUCUUCACAGUUAAUAACUACUGACAUGAACACAGUAAAGGACCGUUUGCACUGGAACUCAGGUAACUACUUGGUGGUUUUCUUCAAUUUCCCUUUUCCUUGUGUUGGUUUGUUGCUGUGUCCCCUUUUCUCUCUUUCCAGGUUCUGGGGAGCUUCCAGCAGAUGGUGCUGUGGAGUCAGGUUGUAAACUCGAACCGAGUGCAGCGUCGCGUUCUCCUCUGCUAUUUUAAUUUCGCCCGUCGUAUUAUCAGUUGUUCCAGCUGUCCAUUCAGGAUACUGGGCUGGAAUCGCUUCUACAGCUGCCUUUAUUGUUGGGCUUGUACUCCUGUGUCUGCUGGCUGUUUGCAGCAUUAAAAGAUCGUUUGUUUUUUUUUUGCAUGGAGAAGUGCUACAGCUGCAGGUCUACCUGAAGGUCUGCAAAACACCACUGCAUCACAGCUUGCUUUUGAAGAGGUUUGAUAUAACAAAAGUGCAGUGUCUCUAAGUAAUCUUUAAUUUGACAUAAUUUCUCAGUACAUUUCCUGUGCGUUUACUUAAUUAUUCUGGGCACUUAUUAUUUUUAUUUUAACCUUGUUGACAAGCCAUUUUGUUUAAGCCCAAGUUUUACCUUUUGGGGCACAAGCUUUCUCUCCUAAUUAAC